UCUUUAUCCGCUCAUGGGUUGAUGGGCACUUAGGUUGGUUCUACAUCUUUACAAUUGCCAAUCAUGGAGAAACAUGUGUGUGUAAGUAUCUUUUUAUAUAAUGACUUAUUUUCCUUUGGGUAGAUACCCAGUAGUGGGAUUGCUAGAUCAAAAGGUAGUUCUUUUAGUUCUUUAAGGAAUCUCCAUGCUGUUUUUCAUAGUUGUACUAAUUUACAUUCCCACCAGUCGGGUAAAACUGUUCCCUUUUCACCACAUCCACACCAACGUCUAUUGUUUUUUGACUUUUUUAUUAUGCCCAUUCUUGCAGGAGUAAGGUGGUAUCUCGUUGUGGUUUUAAUUUGCAUUUCCCUGAUGAUGAGUGAUGUUGAGCAUUUUUUAAUAUGUUUGUUGGCUGUUUGUAUAU
rnacentral:lncRNA from 10 species